CAUCGAUCGAAAUGAAAUUGAAAAGCGUCAGUGACGACAAACACAAGGACGAACGUAGACACUCGGAGGAACGAGGUCCCAGUGAAGUUGAAGUUUCGAAAAUAAUCGCGAUAAUUCGGGAAUUGGCGUUAUUCAGAGACGAAAAAGACGUGGAUCUGGACGUUGAUGUUUCUAUAAAACACUGGCAACCGCUUUAAAAACGCUGUUAACGUCGAUCCGGAAUGACCACCGUCGCGUUUGUAGUAUUUUUACACCAGCCUCGAGAAUACU
rnacentral:misc_RNA from 1 species